UCUAAUAUGGCAGAUUAGUGCACUGGAUUUAAACCCCAAAAAUAAAAUAAAUUAUUUUUUUUAGAA
rnacentral:tRNA from 1 species